rnacentral:rRNA from 1 species
UACGUAGGGGGCAAGCGUUGUCCGGAUUUAUUGGGCGUAAAGAGCGUGUAGGCGGUUUGGUAGGUCCGCUGUGAAAACUCGAGGCUCAACCUCGAGACGCCGGUGGAAACCAUCAAGCUAGAGUCCGGAAGAGGAGAGUGGAAUUCCUGGUGUAGCGGUGAAAUGCGCAGAUAUCAGGAAGAACACCCGUGGCUAAGGCGGCUCUCUAGUACGGUACUGACGCUGAGACGCGAAAGCGUGGGGAGCGAACAGG